rnacentral:sRNA from 1 species
AUGUACCUACUACACUCCGGAUCCUCCGCGCCGUCCGCACUCACCUGAUGGCUGCCGCUACGUUUUGUCAGCC